rnacentral:lncRNA from 1 species
UUUUUUUUAACCAUGGGGUUUUACAUCUACUUUUUUUCUUUUAGGUUGCUGCUGGUGGGAAGACUGAGAGCAGCUCUAUCUCAGAUCAGAACUACACAGGGACAAUAUUUUCAGUCUGUGAUAGAAACUAUGACCUGGAAAUCAACACACUCAAACGUGACCAAAACUAACCAAGUCUCUCUGAGAUGAUCUGCUGCCUCCACUGAGCUUGGGAACAGCAAGUGCAAACAAUUUAGAAAAGAAUGGUAAUUCCCUAAAGCCUCAAAUUGUUCUCUGUUUCUGAAUUGGUCUCUGGCAGUGCUAAUGCCUCCCAUGGUAGGGGGGAUGGCAGCCUAAGGAAGCACAUCUUCCUGAGCUCCCUCUUGAGCAAAGGGAUGGGAACAGCCUCCCCCAGAAGGCAGCCAGGAGCACCCAAAGCUUGG